UACGGAGGGUGCGAGCGUUGUCCGGAAUCAUUGGGCGUAAAGAGCGUGUAGGCGGUUUGGUAGGUCCGCUGUGAAAACUCGAGGCUCAACCUCGAGACGCCGGUGGAAACCAUCAGACUAGAAUCCGGAAGAGGAGAGUGGAAUUCCUGGUGUAGCGGUGAAUGACGCAGAUAUCAGGAAGAACACCCGUGGCUAAGGCGGCUCUCUAGUACGGUACUGACGCUGAGACGCGAAAGCGUGGGGAGCGAACAGG
rnacentral:rRNA from 1 species